UGGUGGCGGAGCUCAGCGAUGCAUCCCCGCACCUCGUCGGACCCGGGCGAGUGGACCAACUCAGCCUUCCCCCGAGUCCUGCACAGCGUCGCGGGCCAGCCAGCGUUCAAGACUCGCUGCCUGUCUCGCGCCGCCUCGUCCAGCGGUCCAGCCCUGCAUCGCAUCACGUGACUCCUCUUUUCGGAUGUCGGCAGCGUGACCUCUGCAGACUGGGUCCUCGGCGGCUUCUGGACGUCGUGUCAGCCUCCCACCCUCUUACUUACCCAGCAAGCAAUCACUCCACUUAGGAUCGGAACACACCGGGGUCAGCAGGACCGGCCGUCCCGCGUUGUGGAGUUUGAGUGAUGUCACUCCUCUCAGUCCCGAUUUGACUCCGCGUCUGGCUCGUUGUGAACUCGUCGGUAAAUAGUUAUACUUUGCAUGUGACAAAUGGCAUGUAUCAGAUUUAUCUUAUACCUGGUGGUUAAACUCAAAUGUUUCGUAUAGGAAAAAUUGAGCGUGUGAACACGUACCUCUUUCUUACUUCACAGGUUUCAUGUUGUCUGCCACUUAAGGACUACAACACAAUAUUACGAAGGAAGAGCAAUACCAAACAUGGACCAAUAUAAAUUAAUUUAUAUAGAAUAAUCAAUGCGAUCUUAAUGUGAAACAUUUGUCUUAAACCAGGUCUAGAUAAACUAUAUGAUGGUAUUCAUAUAGAACGAGGAGGCAGACGCAGAGUUGAGCGGGACAGGAGAGGAGUGACGUUACUCAAACAGCCCUACAACGUGGGAUGGGUAGGUUACUGACCUCAACGAAGUUGAUUGCUUCCUGGGUAGAAAACGGGAGGGAGUACAAGACAACGUGCAGUAAGGAGGUAAUAUAUCUUUGAGAAACCACCACUAGGAGAGGACAUGCGAAAGUGUUCACAACCGAUUUAUAACUUUUUAUAUUGCAUGCUCUGCACGUCUGAACAAUAAAGUUUAUUUUCAACUCUUGCUGUGUACGUCGUACACUCCCCUUGGGGGUGGUGAUAUUGCUGUUCCCAGUUCAAGUCAUUGUAUAUUCCUCCUCUCCACGCCCCAGACGUCACUUCCUUGUUGCUGGGAACUGGACGCCUCGACUCUGCGAAAAUAAAAGAUAGGACCUCA